rnacentral:lncRNA from 1 species
AGGAACAAAGGGCCUGAGAGUGGAAUGAGCUUGCUUCAGCGGAGUCAGUGAGAGGCCCUGGCGCCCAGAACAUGGGAGCAAGGGAGCGGGGCCAUUGUGAGAGCAGAAAGACAGACAGGUGCCGGGUCAGGUAGGACUCUGAGGACCGAGGGAAGGAGUUUGGAUUUUACUCUGGUUCAGGGAGAGGCCUUUGGAGGGUUUCAAGUAGGGGAAAUAUGUAAUCUGAUUUUGCUUCAAGAAGACUCCUCCAGCUGGCUGCUCUGUGGAGGAAACAGACGGACGGAAGAGAGACCAUCUUCAUGAGGCCGUCAUGACCCAUCAACCAAGUGAGAUCUCAGCAUUUCCCCACUGACCAGACUGAACAUCUGACUAUUACAGUAUCUCAACAAACAAAAUGCCAGAAGGCUCAACUUCUAUGAGGCCCCGUGGGAAACAUGAACAUUUAAAGUGUAAUGGACAAACAGAAGCCUGUGAGUGAGAAAAAGAAUGGUGAGGGAGCUGGAAAGGAAAGAGAAUCAGGGGACUGCAGGUUUACGGAAGCUAAGAGAAGCAAGACUUUUUAGAAGUGACCAACAUGUCCAAACGAAACAGAAAAAUCCAGUAAAAUAAAGGAUGAGGGGCUUCCCCAUGGCUGAGUGUUUGAGUUUGCAAGCUCUGCUUUGGCGGCCCAGGGUUUCGCUGGUUCCCAUCUUGGGCGUGGACAUGGCACCACUCAUCAGGCCAUGUUGAGGCUGCGUCCCACAUAGCACAACCAGAAGGACUCACAACUAGAAUAUACAACUAUGUAUUGGGGGAGGUUUGGGGAGAAGAAGAAAAAAAGAAGAUUUGCAACAGAUGUUAGCUCAGGGCCAAUCUUUAAAAAUAAAGAAUGAAAGGGAUUUAAUGAUUAGUAGAGCAUUACUCUUAGUCUCGGUUUUUGUAUCUGUAAAAUGGGUAUCUCAUGCUGUUAUCAUGAGAU